CCUCCUGUCCUUUCCCUUCAUCCCUUCAUCCUGCCCCCAAGGAAAGCAAAGUAGGAUCUUCUUGCUUGUUGCCCUGAUCAAGAAAUAAUGACUCGCUAAUGGACGCGGGAGGAACAGCAGGCCUGAAAAUACGCCCUCAAUUAUUGUCACGUUGUUGUACGCUGAGGCGCGAGCGCUGGGUGAUUUUUGCUGACUUGUGCAUCUUCCGCAGAACUCCUUUCUCCGAUUUUCAGGGUGGCGGAAGAUAAUGGCGCUUCCCGUGGUAACAGACUGACUCCGGCCGGGCGUGCGCGCCUGGGGCAGCACCCAGCAGCCACAGUGUUUGCACAGCUCUGGGAAGAACACUUGGUUUAGUUGGUACUGUGGCGGGGGAGAGCUAAAACGGGUUUGCGAGUCAGGGCGUAUGUAGCUGGCUGAUUUCUUUGUGACAGAGCAGGGUUUUCAAGGGAAAACUCAAGAAUACAGAACCCAAAGCAUUUUUUUUCCCCCCCCCCAAACAGGGUGACAGCAUUAAGGUAGCUCAAACUACUUGACAGUGUCCUUUUAAGUCAAUUAUCCGUCUUCAAAUGGACUCUUCCUUAUGUUUGUAUUUAUAAAUACCAAUAAACACCAUUUUCCAAGCCGUGUCUUACUAGAGGAAUACCUUUGUAGAGCAAAAAAAAAAA